GACGAACGCUGGCGGCGUGCUUAACACAUGCAAGUCGAACGGAGAGGCCCUGCGGUGGUGGUGUGCUCGGAAGGCGAGAGGGUGAGUUACGCAACAUUACCCCGGCCCUGGGUUUAGUCUAACUUCUGGAGGCUAAGGCUGGUAGCGCACCGCAGCUCGCGCGGCAGGGGGUGGGAUGGAUAGUUGCCGCGGGUGGGGCUGGCCGCGCGGCUUAUCAGCUUGUUGGUGGGGGAGUGGCUUACCAAGGCCUGGACGGGUAGCCGGCCUGAGAGGGUGACCGGCCACACUGGGACUGAGAUACGGCCCAGACUCCUACGGGAGGCAGCAGUGGGGAAUAUUGCGCAAUGGGCGGAAGCCUGACGCAGCAACGCCGCGUGCGGGAUGACGGCCUUCGGGUUGUAAACCGCUUUCGGCUGUGACGAAGCGUGAGUGACGGUAAUGGGUGAAGAAGCACCGGCUAACUACGUG
rnacentral:rRNA from 1 species